UACGUAGGGGGCGAGCGUUGUCCGGAAUCACUGGGCGUAAAGGGCUCGUAGGCGGUUUGUCAAGUCAUAUGUGAAAUCCCAGGGCUCAACCCUGGACGUGCAUGUGAAACUGACAGACUUGAGUGUGGUAGAGGUAAGUGGAAUUCCUAGUGUAGCGGUGGAAUGCGUAGAUAUUAGGAGGAACACCAGUGGCGAAGGCGACUUACUGGGCCAUUACUGACGCUGAGGAGCGAAAGCGUGGGGAGCAAAC
rnacentral:rRNA from 1 species